rnacentral:rRNA from 1 species
CCUACGGGCGGCAGCAGUGGGGAAUAUUGGGCAAUGGGCGCAAGCCUGACCCAGCAACGCCGCGUGAAGGAUGAAGGUUUUCGGAUUGUAAACUUCUGUCGCGAGGGACGAAGAAUGACGGUACCUCGUAAGAAACACCCGGCUAACUACGUGCCAGCAGCAGCGGCAAUACGGAGGGGGCAAGCGUUGUCCGGAAGGACUGGGCGUAAAGGGAGCGCAGGUGGCCUUGUAAGUUAGAUGUGAAAUCCUACGGCUUAACCGUAGAACUGCAUCUAAUACUGGGAGGCUGGAGUGCAGUAGAGGUGAGUGGAAUUCCUAGUGUAGCGGUGGAAUGCGUAGAUAUCAGGAGGAAUACCAGAGGCGAAGGCGACUCACUGGACUGUAACUGACGCUGAGGUUCGAAAGCGUGGGGAGCAAACAGGAUUAGAUACCCGUGUAGUC